GCCAUUUCUCAGCCUAAGCAGAAAGUAGACCUGACAGUUUCAAGUUUUUUACUUUCCAGAGGCCUAAGCUGCUGUGUAAGAAGCUGGAGUGCCCUGUUGGAGAGACUACAUGAAAAGAUACAGAGAGACAGAAAGACCUAGAGACCACGUGGAGGAAAAUUAAAGAAUCCAGCUGACAGAAAUCUGUGGCCCCAAACAUACAACCCCAGUUAGGUUACUCCAGCCAACACCAGCUGUCCAAGCCACCCCAGCUGAGAUAUCAGACACCUGGAAAAAACAACCAACCAACCAGAAGUCCUUCAACAAGAGGCAUGAGUUAGAAUGAUACACGCCAAAGUCACCUUUCAGAGUUUAAUUCCUCACAUAAUUUUAGACUGAAGACUGGAAUGCUGGACAUAGAUAUUACCUUCAAGAACCACCCAGCCCCAUCUCCUCAUUUUAUAGAAACAACAUGCAAUCAAUCAUCAGCCGCUGAUGAUCAAUCAUUAGGAAGAUCAGGAAGAGCAUCAACUGGGACCUAAGAGCAAGAAGAUGGCCAUCUCGAGGAAGAGAGUCCUUUCCAGGAAGUGAAUCAGCUGGCACCUUGAUCUUGGACUUCCAAGUCCCUAGAACUGUGAGCAAUAAAUGUCUGUUGCA